rnacentral:tRNA from 1 species
GCUCCCUUCGUCUAGCGGUCAGGACAUCGGCCUCUCAAGCCGGGAACAGGGGUUCGAUUCCCCUAGGGAGCGCCA